rnacentral:rRNA from 1 species
GUGAGGAAUAUUGGACAAUGGGCGCAAGCCUGAUCCAGCCAUGCCGCGUGCAGGAAGACGCAUCUAUGGUGUGUAAACUGCUUUUGUACGGGAAGAAACACUCCCUCGUGAGGGAGCUUGACGGUACCGUAAGAAUAAGGGUCGGCUAACUCCGUGCCAGCAGCCGCGGUAAUACGGAGGAUCCAAGCGUUAUCCGGAAUCAUUGGGUUUAAAGGGUCCGUAGGCGGUUUAAUAAGUCAGUGGUGAAAGCCCAUCGCUCAACGAUGGAACGGCCAUUGAUACUGUUAGACUUGAAUUACAAGGAAGUAACUAGAAUAUGUAGUGUAGCGGUGAAAUGCUUAGAUAUUACAUGGAAUACCAAUUGCGAAGGCAGGUUACUACUUGUGGAUUGACGCUGAUGGACGAAAGCGUGGGGAGCGAACAGGAUUAGAAACCCGAGUGUCC